rnacentral:sRNA from 1 species
UAGAAACCAUUUGCUAGUGAGGUACAAAUUUUGAAGUUGUCUGUAAAUCGAAUGUUUAUAAAUUAAAAUGGAAUUAUUUAAGUCACCGAUUUUUGUUUUUUUUCUCUUAUGCAGUCAAUUUUUUGAGGCCUGUGCCUCACAGAUGUCAGUGGUUAGUAUCCUGACUGGCUUUGCCUAGUGGCUAAUCAUGUGCUUUUUGUCUCUUUAUUCCACCCAAACACCAUAAACAGAGCCAAUGAAGAGAUUGCUCAGGUUCGAACAAAAGCAAAGGCUGAGAGUGCAGCUCUCCAUGCUGGACUCCGGAAAGAGCAGAUGAAGGUGGAGUCCCUGGAAAGGGCCCUGCAGCAGAAGAACCAAGAAAUUGAAGAACUGACAAAAAUCUGUGAUGAGCUGAUUGCAAAGCUGGGAAAGACUGACUGAGACACUCCCCCUGUUAGCUCAACAGAUCUGCAUUUGGCUGCUUCUCUUGUGACCACAAUUAUCUUGCCUUAUCCAGGAAUAAUUGCCCCUUUGCAGAGAAAAAAAAAAAACUUAAAAAAAGCACAUGCCUACUGCUGCCUGUCCCGCUUUGCUGCCAAUGCAAGAGCCCUGGAAGAAACCCUAGAGGGUCGCAUAGUCUAGAAAGGAGUGUGACCUGACAGUGCUGGAGCCUCCCAGUUCCCCGUAUGAAGGUUCCCUU